CGGUGAAGAAAGUCCUCUUCACUGUCGCUAUCGCCACUUGGUAGGCUCGAAACUGAGCUCUAACCCGUGUCUGGUCAGCUUCAGAAUGAGUUAUCCGCCACCGGCGCUCUAGCCGUCUCAGUGAUUGUUUCAUUGCCCUCAGAUCCAUGGAAAACCAUGGGGCUAUCUGGGCUCCAUGCAGUCGGAGAGGGCGCUUCGGAGCCAAACAGUCAAUAGCCCUGGUUAACUUCACAUUCCAGCGGGCCACCAGCGAAUCAGCUGAAAGGCCAUCAACAUGGGAUAAAGCAUCCCCUACUACUCUCUGGAAACCAUUUGGAUCCAUUAAGUGGCGGGGGCAGACCAUCCAAAUCGGUCCCACCUCCCUGCAGAGCAGAAGGGUCGUGGAGAAGUCCAGUUGCACCAGGAAGUGAUUCUAUGAUUCUAUGAUUCUAAGUGAUCUGACCAUGGCACUUCUUUAGUUUCAUUUUUACUUAGUGUCAGAUCACCCACAUCCAUAGAGGUGAACACCAGGUUCAAGGCAUGUCCGCGGUUAUGAGUUGGGCCAGACUUAUUCAGGGACAGCCCCAUGGAAGCCAUGCUUUCCACGAAGUCCCAAGCGGCCCCUCGUAAGGUCGUGUUGGCAUGAAUAGUCCUCAAACUAUGACUAAACCUGCCUCCUUGGUAAUGACAUGGUCUGGUCUUAGCAUCUGGUCUCCUCCUACCUGUGAUCACUGAGAUCGGUUGUCCCAGUGCAUCCCCCCCUGUGGAACCUGCCCCAGCCAUUUUGUUGGCUGGGACCCACUCCCAGGCAGCCCUGACCCCUCCCCUUAAGAACAAAAUAAAACCUAAAACCACAACAACAACACACACACACACACACACAAUAAAACAAUACAAACC